rnacentral:rRNA from 1 species
UGGGGAAUAUUGGACAAUGGGGGCAACCCUGAUCCAGCCAUGCCGCGUGUGUGAAGAAGGCCUUUUGGUUGUAAAGCACUUUAAGCAGUGAAGAAGACUCCAUGGUUAAUACCCAUGGACGAUGACAUUAGCUGCAGAAUAAGCACCGGCUAACUCUGUGCCAGCAGCCGCGGUAAUACAGAGGGUGCAAGCGUUAAUCGGAAUUACUGGGCGUAAAGCGAGCGUAGGUGGCUUGAUAAGUCAGAUGUGAAAGCCCCGGGCUUAACCUGGGAACGGCAUCUGAUACUGUUAGGCUAGAGUACGUGAGAGGAAGGUAGAAUUCCAGGUGUAGCGGUGAAAUGCGUAGAGAUCUGGAGGAAUACCGAUGGCGAAGGCAGCCUUCUGGCAUCAUACUGACACUGAGGUUCGAAAGCGUGGGUAGCAAACA